UUAAAUGUAAAUAAUUUAAACUAAGUGAUUAAUAGUUAAGUUCUUUAAAGCUAAAUAAUUUGGCGGUAUUUUAAACUAUUCAGAGGAACCUGUCCUAUAAUUGAUAUUCCACAAUAGAAGUUACUUUAAUUAGAAAUUUUUAUAUCGUCGUUAUAAAAUAUUUUAAAAGAAUAAAUAUUUAAGUUUCUUUAUAAAGAAGAAAAUCAGAUCAAGGUAAAGUUUAUAUUAAAGAAGAGAUGGGUUACUAUUUAUUUUAUUAUUGGAUUUAUUUUUUGAGAAUUUUUUUGAAAUUGGAUUUGAAAGUAAUUAAUUAUACUUAUUUUUAAUGAUUAAGCUCUAAAAUAUGC
rnacentral:rRNA from 1 species